UGUAACUUGCAAGCAAAGUGAAGGAAAUAAAGGCACGAAAGGAAAAAGAGAAAGGAAUUUUCUCCCUCUUUCUCUACUCCCUCGAGUUUUUUUUUAUUUUAUUUCAAUUCAACCGAUUUGCUCUCUGAAACUAAGCAGAAAGCAUCAGACAACAAUUAAGUGCAAAAAAGCAAAAGCAAUUAGGUAUUUUUCAUUUGAGAAAUGGACGAUGAUGUUGUUCAGCGAGUUCUCCAAGAAGGUGGCCGCGAUUUUUUUCAACAACCACCCUCAACUUCCUCCAUCCUCCAAUCCCUUCCUCUCCAUGCGUCUUUUGAUCGUGGAUAUUACUUGUUAGUAAAAUCUAUUCAAGAGCUCAGAGAGAGAAAAGAGGGUCUUGUUACUGUUGGCAUUGGUGGUCCUAGCGGUUCAGGCAAAACUAGCUUAGCAGAGAAGGUAGCAUCUGUAAUUGGAUGCAUUGUUAUAUCAAUGGAGGAUUAUCGGUGCAGAGUUGACGAUGGGAAUGAUUUGGAUUCAAUUGAUUUUGAUGCAUUGGUCCAAAAUCUUGAGGAUUUGACAAAAGGUAAAGAUACUUCUAUACCAGUGUUUGAUUAUCAACAAAAGAGACAUGUUGGUUCAAAGAGAAUAAAUAGUGUUUCAUCUGGAGUGGUAAUAGUUGAUGGUACUUAUGCUUUGCAUGCAAGAUUGCGCUCUUUGCUCGAUAUUCGGGUGGCUGUGGUUGGUGGAGUUCACUUUAGUCUUCUUUCCAAAGUUCAAUAUGACAUAGGAGAUUCUUGUUCUUUGGAUUACCUUAUUGACAGCAUUUUCCCUUUGUUUAGAAAACACAUUGAGCCAGAUCUUCAUCAUGCACAGAUUAGGAUAAACAACAGCUUUGUCUCCUCAUUUAGAGAAGCAAUUUACAAGUUGAAAUGCAGAAGUGAGUCUCCAGAUGUGUCUGCUUAUGCCUUUAAAGGAGCAGAGCCACAAAUAGACAAUUUUAUUGAGAUGUACCUUAGGGCACCGUCAGCAAGUGAAGAAGCACGAAUCAGUGACUGGAUUAAGGUGCGGCAAUCUGGUAUUAGAUACUAUCUGUCACUCGGGGAUCAGAGGAUUGUUGACAAAAAUUUCAUUAUCAGGCCAAAAGCUGAGUUUGAGGUUGGAAGAAUGACUCUCGGUGGUUUGUUGGCUUUGGGGUAUACUGUUGUUGUCAGUUACAAACGAGCAUCUACUUCUAUUAGUAAUGGCAGUCUUUCAAUGUCACUGGAGACAAUAGAUACCCUUGGUGAGACAUUUAUGGUGCUGAGGGGCAUGAAUAGGAAAACUGUUGGUGCAGAAGCAUCAAGGAUGGGUGUGAAUGGACCAUGGAUCACAAAGUCAUAUCUGGAACUGAUUCUCGAGAGAAAAGGUGUGCCACGUUUGAGUACGCCACCACCUUUGUCUCAUACUUCCAUGACUAGUAAUCAAGACAGAUUGAUUGCUGCUCCAAGGCCUAUCCGUACUACUCCAAAUCUUGUUACUCGGGUUGAGGAUCUAUCUCAGCCAUGGACUCGGUCCCCAACAAAAGCUCAAAUGGAACCUGUUGUAGCAACAUGGAGAUUCAUGCCAUCAGAUCCACCGCAUACUGGAAGUUCAGUUGUAGAUCCUUCCUCUUUCAGGGAUACCAUGAAGCUUGUUCCAAUGCCUGAUUCAUAUGACUUGGAUAGAGGACUACUUCUUGCUGUUCAAGCAAUACAGGCAUUGUUGGAGAGUAAGGGUCCUCCUGUCAUAGUUGGAAUUGGAGGUCCAAGUGGGUCUGGAAAGACUAGCCUGGCGCAUAAAAUGGCAAAUAUCGUUGGUUGUGAAGUAGUUUCCCUUGAAAGCUACUUUAUAUCUGAACAAGUGAAGGAUUUUAAGCAUGAUGAUUUUCGUUCUCUUGAUUUAUCCUUGCUUGCAAAGAACAUCAAUGACAUAAGGUGUGGUAGAACUGCUAAAGUGCCUCUAUUUGAUUUGGAGACUGGUGCUCGUAGUGGGUUCAAGGAACUGGAUAUUUCUGAAGACUGUGGUGUGAUUAUUUUUGAAGGUGUUUAUGCUCUGCACCCAGAAAUUCGGGAAUCACUUGACUUGUGGAUUGCUGUUGUUGGAGGUGUUCAUUCACAUCUGAUUUCUCGUGUUCAAAGAGACAAAAGUAGAGUGGGGUGCUUUAUGUCCCAAAACGACAUCAUGAUGACAGUGUUUCCAAUGUUCCAGCAACAUAUUGAACCCCAUCUUGUUCACGCUCAUCUCAAAAUUCGGAAUGACUUUGAUCCAGUGCUUUCUCCUGAGAGUUCUUUAUUUGUUUUGAAGAGUAACAUGCAGGUAGCUUAUCAAGACAUUGUAAAAAUCCUUGAUCCUGCAAAGUUAUGCAGAUCUCUUCAGAAUUUCAUUGAUAUAUAUUUGAAGCUCCCUGGAAUUCCUACUAAUGGACAGCUGACAGAGAAUGACUGCAUACGUGUCAGAAUUUGUGAGGGUAGAUUUGCAUUGCUGAUACGAGAGCCAAUAAGAGAAGGGAAUUUCAUCAUUCAACCCAAAGUGGAUUUCGAUAUUAGCAUUAGUACUGUUGCUGGUCUUCUUAACCUUGGGUAUCAAGCUGUAGCUUACAUUGAGGCGUCUGCAUUUAUCUAUCAAGACGGGAAGAUUCUUGUUGAGGUUGAUCAUCUACAAGAUGCCCCUAGUCCCUAUUUACAGAUUAAAGGGGUUAAUAAAGAUGCUGUUGCAGCUGCUGGUUCAACACUUAAACUGGAUGGUUCAUACACAACUAAGAGUUAUCUACAAAUCAUUUUGGAGAGGUUGCCAGAAACAGAACAAAAUUCCAGAGGGAUUCACACGCAGCAAGCUGCAAGAUUGCAGGAACUUGUUGAAUUCAUACAAUAUCAGAAAAAUAAUACAGGGACCAAAUUGACAGGGAAACAGCUCAGCUUCAGAAUCCUCACCAGUUAGGGAGACAGUGCCUAUAGAAGGCAUAAUUGAAGAUAUGCAGUCUAGAAUCAAGAGGCUGGAAAGAUGGCAGACCAUAAAUACGGUGUUAUGGACUUUUCUAAUGUCUGCCCUUGUUGGUUAUUCGCUUUAUCAAAGGAAACGCCAAUAAACAAUCUUUUAAAUAUUCUGCAAGGUCUAUUACAACGUAGCAAGGAAAGGUUGCAUUUCGCUUUCCCAAGCUAGGCUAUAAACCUUCACUUCAACAGGUUCACGGGGGUAAUCGUUGGCGAUGUUUAGUCUUAACAGGAAAUUCUAACCAGAAUUGCAUGGUUAUCUCAUCAAUUAUUUUAUGGCGAUUUAAUAUUCAUAGCCCAAAAAAUUUAUGGCUCUUUUUUUGUCCGAAAAAGAGAAAGAGAACGGUGUAUCGAUUAGUUUCUCCCAUUUGUAGAAAUAUGUAUUGGGAGGAAUUUGGAAUUGCUAACAGAAUAGAGCUGCUCUUUGUUGUAUAGCUUAUUUGAUAUUUUGAUGCAGCAAAAGAAGAAAAAAAUUUCUACACUUUCAA